GAAUAACAAGUAAUUGAAUCACAAUUAGAAGGUGUAAAUCCAAUAAGUAAAUCAACAAAAGCACCAAUAAUAAAACCAUGAUUAUUUUUUCCAUUCAUCUUCAAAUACCAUUGUAAUAAUUCUUGUAAAGAUUCCCAAUCUUUAAUCUCAUGUGUGUCCACCAUUUCUUCCAUUGAUUUCUUAAAAUCCAAAUAUGGAUCCUCUGAUUCCAAUGCCAAUGCCACACUUUCCUUAAAUGGCAAUUCUUCAUCAACAUCUUCUUCAAUUUCUUUUAGUUUCUCCUGACUCUGACUUUGACUCUGAUCCUGAUCCCGAC
rnacentral:misc_RNA from 1 species